rnacentral:rRNA from 1 species
GGGGUUUUCUGUAGGGUGAACCUGCGGAGGGAUCAUUACACAAAUAUGAAGGCGGGCUGGAACCUCUCGGGGUUACAGCCUUGCUGAAUUAUUCACCCUUGUCUUUUGCGUACUUCUUGUUUCCUUGGUGGGUUCGCCCACCACUAGGACAAACAUAAACCUUUUGUAAUUGCGAUCAGCGUCAGUAACAAAUUAAUAAUUACAACUUUCAACAACGGAUCUCUUGGUUCUGGCAUCGAUGAAGAACGCAGCGAAAUGCGAUAAGUAGUGUGAAUUGCAGAAUUCAGUGAAUCAUCGAAUCUUUGAACGCACACUGCGCCCUUUGGUAUUCCAAAGGGCGGCCUGUUCGAGCGUCAUUUGUACCCUCCAGCUUUGCUUGGUGUUGGGCGUCUUGUCUCUAGCUUUGCUGGAGACUCGCCUUAAAGUAAUUGGCAGCCGGCCUACUGGUUUCGGAGCGCAGCACAAGUCGCACUCUCUAUCAGCAAAGGUCUAGCAUCCAUUAAGCCUUUUUUUCAACUUUUGACCUCGGAUCAGGUAGGGAUACCCGCUGAACUUAAGCAUAUCAAUAAGCGGAGGAA